rnacentral:misc_RNA from 1 species
UUUCCGUAGGUGAACCUGCGGAAGGAUCAUUUCCAAACAAAAUUCUUACAAACCAACCAUGUGGAUUGUUUUGGGUUUUUUUUAUUACUCUCUACAGUAUACACGAUAAUGUGUAGGAACCAACCCGCAGUGGUGGAUAGAGGAAUUUUCUGCUUCCGGGCAGAUUUUUCAUCUGACUGCAUGGUCCCUAUAUUCCAAAACAUUAUUUGUAAAUCUGUGGGGAGGCCAUGAUGAACUACCUUGUCUCAAAGGUUGAUUUCCUAUCGUUUUUAAAACACAUUUUAAAAAACAAAUGAUAUGACAACUUUUAACGGUGGAUCUCUUGGCUCGU